rnacentral:rRNA from 1 species
GUGGGGAAUUUUGGACAAUGGGCGAAAGCCUGAUCCAGCAAUGCCGCGUGCAGGAUGAAGGCCCUCGGGUUGUAAACUGCUUUUGUACGGAACGAAAAGCCUGGGGCUAAUAUCCCCGGGUCAUGACGGUACCGUAAGAAUAAGCACCGGCUAACUACGUGCCAGCAGCCGCGGUAAUACGUAGGGUGCAAGCGUUAAUCGGAAUUACUGGGCGUAAAGCGUGCGCAGGCGGUUUUGUAAGACAGUGGUGAAAUCCCCGGGCUCAACCUGGGAACUGCCAUUGUGACUGCAAGGCUAGAGUGCGGCAGAGGGGGAUGGAAUUCCGCGUGUAGCAGUGAAAUGCGUAGAUAUGCGGAGGAACACCGAUGGCGAAGGCAAUCCCCUGGGCCUGCACUGACGCUCAUGCACGAAAGCGUGGGGAGCAAACAGGAUUAGAAACCCUGGUAGUCC